AGCAGCCGCGGUAAUUCCAGCUCCAAUAGCGUAUAUUAAAGUUGUUGCAGUUAAAAAGCUCGUAGUUGAAUUUCGGGGUCAAUAAGUUGGUCGUGCCAAUGGUAUGUACUGGCUUUAUUGAUUCCUACCUCUUGACGAACUGUGAUGCCAUUAAUUUGGUGUUGCAGGAAAUCAGGACUGUUACCUUGAAAAAAUUAGAGUGUUUAAAGCAGGCUUACGCUUGAAUACAUUAGCAUGGAAUAAUGAAAUAGGACGUUUGAACCUAUUUUGUUGGUUUCUAGGAUCGACGUAAUGAUUAAUAGGGAUAGUUGGGGGCAUUAGUAUUCAAUUGUCAGAGGUGAAAUUCUUGGAUUUAUUGAAGACUAACUACUGCGAAAGCAUUUGCCAAGGAUGUUUUCAUUAAUCAAGAACGAAAGUUAGGGGAUCGAAGACGAUCAGAUACCGUCGUAGUCUUAACCAUAAACUACGCCGACUAGGGAUCGGAUGAUGUUAAUUUUUAAUGACUCAUUCGGCGCCUUAA
rnacentral:rRNA from 1 species